rnacentral:lncRNA from 1 species
UGUUUUCCAAAUGCUCUACAAUGAUAAACUCCAUAAUCAAAGGUUAUAAUUGCUACUACCUCCGCCCCAAAAUAAUGGUCUUUUACGCAUAUCAAUGCAUAAUUUGAAUCAUUAAUAUCUUUAGUUUUCUUUCAUGAAAAAUUAUAAAAAUUUAAUAUUGUGAAAAUAUUCAUUGAGACAAAUCAAACAAUAUCUUAUUUGCUAAUAUUUGUCUUUAUACAUUAGUAAAAAAAUACGGUCAAAAAUAAAUAUCAACAGUCAACAGGGACAAUUAUUUUGGGACGGAGGGAGUAAUUGCUAUAACAAGUGAC